CAGGAGUGAAUUUACAGAGCACACUGAACGGUGAUCCUAGGUGCUUCUGCCCUUCUGUGUCUGUCCUUCUAGCUGACAAGGGGCAUGCCAGUAUAAACUCUAAACUCAGCAUUGUUGAAAAUAUCAAGUGUUCACUUGACUGGGGUUUGAAUAGUUACGUGAUUAAACCAAUUUUACAGUAUCUAAUAAAGGUGAGCAGAAAGGCUGGAGACAUGGCUCAGCGAGUAAGAGGACCUGUGGCCAAGACUGACAACUUAAUGCUGGUCCCAGAACCCACCUGGUGGAAAGAGGGAACCAAAUCUCACAGAUUGUCUUCUGAUUAGACAGUAUGACACAUGCUUACCCCACACAGCAUACGUACACAAGUACAUAAACAUUAAUUUUUUUUAAAGAAGGGAACAUUAAGCAAGCCACCUAGUAUCAGAAAAAACAAAAACCAUACAUUCUUCCCUACAUUCUACCAUAUAUAAAUCCUAACCUGUAAUGUAUACAUUACAUAUGUGUGCAUGUGUGUGUGUAUACAUACAUAUAUAUACAUGUAUGUAUAUAUAUAUAUAUAUAUAUAUAUAUAUAUAUAUAUAUAUAUAAACAUGUACCUGUGGGUACAGUAUGACAUGUAGGAAAUAGAUAGUGCUGGGUACUAAGAAAGGACAACAAAAGUAAAGGACACGUAACUCACGAAAAAGGAUAUGAAGCUAAUUAUUUUUCUUGUUUUAACUUUUUUGUGUGU
rnacentral:lncRNA from 1 species